GAUGAAGAACGUAGUGAAAUGCGAUAAGUAAUGUGAAUUGCAGAAUUCAGUGAAUCAUCGAAUCUUUGAACGCACAUUGCGCCCCCUGGUAUUCCGGGGGGCAUGCCUGUCCGAGCGUCAUUACAACCCUCAAGCUCAGCUUGGUGUUGGGCCCCGCCGCCCCGGCGGGCCCUAAAGUCAGUGGCGGUGCCGUCCGGCUCCGAGCGUAGUAAUUCUUCUCGCUCUGGAGGUCCGGUCGUGUGCUCGCCAGCAACCCCCAAUUUUUUUCAGGUUGACCUCGGAUCAGGUAGGGAUACCCGCUGAACUUAAGCAUAUCAAAAGCGGAGGA
rnacentral:misc_RNA from 1 species